rnacentral:rRNA from 1 species
UACGAAGGGUGCAAACGUUGCUCGGAAUCAUUGGGCGUAAAGCGCACGUAGGCGGCCUGUUAAGUCGGAUGUGAAAUCCCUCGGCUCAACCGAGGACGUGCAUACGAAACUGGCAGGCUCGAGUAUGGAAGAGGGUCGCGGAAUUCCCGGUGUAGAGGUGAAAUUCGUAGAUAUCGGGAGGAACACCAGUGGCGAAGGCGGCUAUCUGGACGGUUUCUGACGCUAAGACGCGAAAGCGUGGGGAGCAAACAGG